CACCAAGAAGCUUCUAACUUAAGCAUUAGCCUUUUAAGCUAGAGAAGAAAUAAGACUUUCCUUGGUGA
rnacentral:tRNA from 1 species